GACGAACGCUGGCGGCGUGCUUAACACAUGCAAGUCGAGCGGAGCGGCGAACGGGUGAGUAACGCGUGCGUAACUACCCCCCUCUCUGGGAUAACAGUUGGAAACGGGUGCUCAUACCGGAUAGUGGGGGCUGACUCUCGUCCUAUCUGCUUGUUGGUGGGGUAGUGGCUUACCAAGGCGACGACGGGUAGCCGGCCUGAGAGGGCGACCGGCCACAGUGGGGUGAGAUACGGCCCAAAGGCAUACGGGAGGCAGGAGUGGGGAAUAUUGCACAAUAGGGGAAACCCGGAUGCAGCAACGCCGCGUGCGGGAUGACGGCCUUCGGGUUGUAAACCGCUUUCAGCCAUGACGCGGUAGUGGCAGAGGAAGCACCGGCUAACUACGUGCCAGCAGCCGCGGUAAUAC
rnacentral:rRNA from 1 species